GACGAACCGUGCGAACGUUGUUCGGAAUCACUGGGCUUAAAGGGCGCGUAGGCGGACGACCAAGUCGGGGGUGAAAUCUUUCGGCUCAACCGGAAAAUAGCCUUCGAUACUGGCCGUCUGGAGGGAGGUAGGGGCGUGUGGAACUUCCGGUGGAGCGGUGAAAUGCGUUGAUAUCGGAAGGAACUCCGGUGGCGAAAGCGACACGCUGGAUCUCAUCUGACGCUGAGGCGCGAAAGCGUGGGGAGCAAACAGG
rnacentral:rRNA from 1 species